rnacentral:rRNA from 1 species
AGGACGAACGCUGGCGGCGCGCCUAAUACAUGCAAGUCGAGCGAGAACCAGGGCUUGCCCUGGGGAGAGCGGCGAACGGGUGCGUAUCACGUGAGCAACCUGCCCCGAAGACCGGGAUAACUCGAGGAAACUCGGGCUAAUACCGGAUGCCCUCGGUGGACCGCAUGGUCCGGCGAGGAAAUGGAUUCCGCUUCGGGAUGGGCUCGCGGCCUAUCAGCUUGUUGGUGGGGUAACGGCCUACCAAGGCAACGACGGGUAGCUGGUCUGAGAGGACGGUCAGCCACACUGGGACUGAGACACGGCCCAGACUCCUACGGGAGGCAGCAGUAGGGAAUCUUGCGCAAUGGGGGAAACCCUGACGCAGCGACGCCGCGUGCGGGAUGAAGGCCUUCGGGUCGUAAACCGCUUUCAGCAGGGACGAAUUGACGGUACUGCAGAGAAGGCCGCCACUACGUGCCAGCAGCCGC